AGUGAACGCUGGCGGUAGGCCUAACACAUGCAAGUCGAACGGCAGCACAGUAAGCGCUUGCUCUUACGGGUGGCGAGUGGCGGACGGGUGAGGAAUACAUCGGAAUCUACUUUUUCGUGGGGGAUAACGUAGGGCAACUUACGCUAAUACCUCAUACGACAUACGGGUGAAAGCAGGGGAACUUGGUACCUUGCGCGAUCUAAUGAGCCGAUGUCGGAUUAGUUAGUUGGCGGGGUAAAGGACCACCAAGGCGACGGUCCGUACCUGGCCUGCGUGGAUGACCAGCCACACUGGAACGGAGAAACGGUCCAGACUCCUAGGGGAGGCAGCAGUGGGGAAUAUUGGACAAGGGGCGCAAGCCGGAUCCAGCCAUACCGCGUGGGUGAAGAAGGCCUUCGGGUUGUAAAGCCCUUUUGUUGGGAAAGAAAAGCAGCAGGUUAAUACCCCGCUGUUCUGACGGUACCCAAAGAAUAAGCACCGGCUAACUUCGUG
rnacentral:rRNA from 1 species